CUUUGGAGUUCUUACAGAGGUGCCUCUUCAAGAUAAAUACAGACAAGGGAUCAAAAGUGGAGCGGAACGCCACCAAAAAACAACUUGCCGUCAGUCCAAAGGUUCUCACACUCAUCACCAAAAUUGCAGACUACGAGUGGAGGGAAUAAGAAGUGCUCACAAGUUAUGGAUACUUUGUCUAAGUCACAGACUAUUGUGGAUUAAUGUCAAGUAAGGUUUCAUGUAAGCUAUUUGUUAUGUAGCUUUGUUAUCAAUGUUCUAAUGAGGUUUGACAAAGUCUGUAAUCAAUGUUGUGGAUUUAUGGUUACUUGACCAGGUUAUGGAUGACUUGGAUAGUGUGGAUUAAUUUACAGUGAGGUUUAAUGUAGGCUUGUAAUCCA